rnacentral:ncRNA from 1 species
UUGAGCCGUAUGCGGUGAAAGUCGCACGUACAGUUCUUAGGGGGCCCUAGC